rnacentral:rRNA from 1 species
CAAGUCGAGCGGAACGAGUUAUCUGAACCUUCGGGGGACGAUAACGGCGUCGAGCGGCGGACGGGUGAGUAAUGCCUAGGAAAUUGCCCUGAUGUGGGGGAUAACCAUUGGAAACGAUGGCUAAUACCGCAUGAUGCCUACGGGCCAAAGAGGGGGACCUUCGGGCCUCUCGCGUCAGGAUAUGCCUAGGUGGGAUUAGCUAGUUGGUGAGGUAAGGGCUCACCAAGGCGACGAUCCCUAGCUGGUCUGAGAGGAUGAUCAGCCACACUGGAACUGAGACACGGUCCAGACUCCUACGGGAGGCAGCAGUGGGGAAUAUUGCACAAUGGGCGCAAGCCUGAUGCAGCCAUGCCGCGUGUGUGAAGAAGGCCUUCGGGUUGUAAAGCACUUUCAGUCGUGAGGAAGGUGGUGUAGUUAAUAGCUGCAUCAUUUGACGUUAGCGACAGAAGAAGCACCGGCUAACUCCGUGCCAGCAGC